rnacentral:ncRNA from 1 species
UAUAGUUUUAAUAAUUUAUUUAAAGUUUAUUUUACAUAUAAAUUUUAGUAUUAAUUUUACUUUAUUUUAAUAAUAAUUUAAUUGAUUUGUAGUAAUUAAUAUUAAACAAUUUAAGUAAUUAAGAUUUAGUAAUACUUGAAAUUAAUAACAAAUUUUGUGCCAGCAGUUGCGGUUAAACAAAAGUUAAUUUAAAUUUUAUUAGUUAUUAAUAAAUAAUGAAAUUUAAUUGAAUAAUAUAAAUUUUAAAUUAUUAAGUGAAAUUUUAAUUUAAUUUAAUAUUAUAAUAUAUUUAUGAUUUAAUAAAUUUUAUAAAAAACUAGGAUUAGAUACCCUAUUAUUAAAAUUUAAAUUGAAAAUACUAAAAUAGUAGAUAAUUAUUUAUUGAAACUUAAAUAAUUUGGCGGUAUUUUAGUUCAUUUAGAGGAAUCUGUUUAAUAAUUGAUAAUCCACGAAUAAAUUUACUUAAUUUUUUAUUUUGUAUAUCGUUGUUAAAAAAAUAUUUUUUAAUAAUAAUAAUAUUUAAAAAUUUUGAUUAAAAAUUAAAUCAGAUCAAGAUGCAGAUUAUAAUUAAGAAUAUAAUGGAUUACAAUAAAUUUAUUUAGAUGAAUAUUAAUUUGUAAAAGUUAAUUGAAGGUGGAUUUAAAUGUAAUUUUAUUUAGUUUAAUAAAAUGAUUGAAAAUUGAAAUAUGUACAUAUUGCCCGUCGCUUUCAUAUGAAUAUAAGUUGAAAUAAGUCGUAACAAAGUAGAGGUACUGGAAAGUGUUUCUAGAAAGAA